rnacentral:rRNA from 1 species
AGACCCGAAACCCGGUGAUCUAGCCAUGGGCAGGUUGAAGGUUGGGUAACACUAACUGGAGGACCGAACCGACUAAUGUUGAAAAAUUAGCGGAUGACCUGUGGCUGGGGGUGAAAGGCCAAUCAAACCGGGAGAUAGCUGGUUCUCCCCGAAAGCUAUUUAGGUAGCGCCUCGUGAAUUCAUCUCCGGGGGUAGAGCACUGUUUCGGCUAGGGGGCCAUCCCGGCUUACCAACCCGAUGCAAACUGCGAAUACCGGAGAAUGUUAUCACGGGAGACACACGGCGGGUGCUAACGUCCGUCGUGAAGAGGGAAACAACCCAGACCGCCAGCUAAGGUCCCAAAGUCAUGGUUAAGUGGGAAACGAUGUGGGAAGGCCCAGACAGCCAGGAUGUUGGCUUAGAAGCAGCCAUCAUUUAAAGAAAGCGUAAUAGCUCACUGGUCGAGUCGGCCUGCGCGGAAGAUGUAACGGGGCUAAACCAUGCACCGAAGCUGCGGCAGCGACGCUGAUGCGUUGUUGGGUAGGGGAGCGUUCUGUAAGCCUGCGAAGGUGGCCUGUGAGGGUUGCUGGAGGUAUCAGAAGUGCGAAUGCUGACAUAAGUAACGAUAAAGCGGGUGAAAAGCCCGCUCGCCGGAAGACCAAGGGUUCCUGUCCAACGUUAAUCGGGGCAGGGUGAGUCGACCCCUAAGGCGAGGCCGAAAGGCGUAGUCGAUGGGAAACGGGUUAAUAUUCCCGUACUUGGUGUUACUGCGAAGGGGGGACGGAGAAGGCUAUGUUGGCCGGGCGACGGUUGUCCCGGUUUAAGCGUGUAGGUGUGUGUUCCAGGUAAAUCCGGUUCACUUUAACACUGAGGCGUGACGACGAGGCACUACGGUGCUGAAGCAACAAAUGCCCUGCUUCCAGGAAAAGCCUCUAAGCAUCAGGUAACAUCAAAUCGUACCCCAAACCGACACAGGUGGUCAGGUAGAGAAUACCAAGGCGCUUGAGAGAACUCGGGUGAAGGAACUAGGCAAAAUGGUGCCGUAACUUCGGGAGAAGGCACGCUGAUAUGUAGGUGAAGUGAUUUACUCAUGGAGCUGAA